ACAUCAAUCAUGAAUGAAAAGACUUUGGUAGGACUACAAAACCCAUUUGAUGACGAUGUUGAUGAAAACGCAAUCCCACAACGUAAUACUCAACAAUUCGAUACAGAUACUGAGUUUGUGUUGGAGGUUGGCAGUGAAUAUUAUGCUGAUAACAACACUUCACAAAUUCAGACUGCACAGGGCGUCAUGCCAGCAUCCAACGUUAUGAAUUGGAAAAGGAGUACUCCAAAUCAAUUAAAACAACCAAUAAGUGCAACACUUUGUGCCAUUGCAAAUGGCACCACAACUAGACAUCACCACACCUAAUAGCUCUAAAGCGCGAACACCAAAACAGUGUAGCAGAAGAAGACCAACAACCGUCGUGAAAACGCUAACAUCGUCUGAAAUUGCUAAGAAAUACAAUAAUAUUACUUGAUAAACGAAUUUCUUUAUUGGAUGCACAACAUA